GACGAACGCUGGCGGCGUGCUUAACACAUGCAAGUCGAACGGAAAGGCCCCCACCUUGGUGGGGGUGCUCGAGUGGCGAACGGGUGAGUAACACGUGGGUGAUCUGCCCUGUACUUCGGGAUAAGCUUGGGAAACUGGGUCUAAUACCGGUUAGGACCAUGGUUUAGUGUCUCAUGGUGGAAAAAUUAUUGUUUUGGUGCAGGAUGAGCUCGCGGCCUAUCAGCUUGUUGGUGGGGUAAUGGCCUACCAAGGCGUCGACGGGUAGCCGGCCUGAGAGGGUGGACGGCCACAGUGGGACUGAGAUACGGCCCAGACUCCUACGGGAGGCAGCAGUGGGGAAUAUUGCACAAUGGGCGCAAGCCUGAUGCAGCGACGCCGCGUGGGGGAUGACGGCCUUCGGGUUGUAAACUCCUUUCGUUAGGGACGAAGCCACACCUUUUUUGGGUGUGGUGACGGUACCUUUGUGAAGAAGCACCGGCUAACUACGUG
rnacentral:rRNA from 1 species